UAACCAGGUUUCCGUAGGUGAACCUGCGGAAGGAUCAUUAUCGAAUAAACUUGGUGAGUUGUAGCUGGCUCCUUGGAGCAUGUGCACGCUCAUCAUCUUUAUCCAUCCACCUGUGCACAAUCUGUAGACUUUGAGAGGGAUGAGAACAACUGACCUGACUCUCAACAAUUUGUUGGAUACGUGGAAUGCUAUGUAACAAUGUAGCUUUCUUCGAAACAGGAUUAGGUUGUGACUUGCUCUUGAGUUUAUGUGUCUUCAUAAACUACUUAGUAUGUUGUAGAAUGUAUUCAAUGGGCCUCUGUGCCUAUAUAAACUUUAUACAACUUUCAGCAACGGAUCUCUUGGCUCUCGCAUCGAUGAAGAACGCAGCGAAAUGCGAUAAGUAAUGUGAAUUGCAGAAUUCAGUGAAUCAUCGAAUCUUUGAACGCACCUUGCGCUCCUUGGUAUUCCGAGGAGCAUGCCUGUUUGAGUGUCAUUAAAUUCUCAACCCAUCCAACCUUUGUGGUUGGUAUGUGGCUUGGAUGUGGGUGUUGUGCAGGCCUUGAAUAAAGGUCAGCUCGCCUGAAAUACAUUAGCGGAACGGUUUGCGAUCUGUCACUGGUGUGAUAAUUAUCUACGCCAAAGACAUUGAACGCUCUCUGUCUGUUCAGCUUCCAAUAGUCCCUUGU
rnacentral:rRNA from 1 species